UACAUAGUCUCUCAAAGAUUAGCCAUGGGGGCAKGKUCUARGUAUAAGGCAUUAUACCGUGAAACUGCGAAUGGCUCAUUAAAUCAGUUAUCGUUUAUUUGAUAGUACCUUACUACUUGGAUAACCGUGGUAAUUCUAGAGCUAAUACAUGCUGAAAACCCCAACUUCGGGAGGGGUGUAUUUAUUAGAUAAAAAACCAACGCCCUUUCGGGGCUUCUUGGUGAUUCAUGAUAACUUCACGGAUCGCAUGGCCUUGCGCCGGCGACGGUUCAUUCAAAUUUCUGCCCUAUCAACUUUCGAUGGUAAGGUAUUGGCUUACCAUGGUUUCAACGGGUAACGGGGAAUUAGGGUUCGAUUCCGGAGAGGGAGCCUGAGAAACGGCUACCACAUCCAAGGAAGGCAGCAGGCGCGCAAAUUACCCAAUCCCGACACGGGGAGGUAGUGACAAUAAAUACUGAUACAGGGCUCUUUUGGGUCUUGUAAUUGGAAUGAGUACAAUUUAAACCUCUUAACGAGGAACAAUUGGAGGGCAAGUCUGGUGCCAGCAGCCGCGGUAAUUCCAGCUCCAAUAGCGUAUAUUAAAGUUGUUGCAGUUAAAAAGCUCGUAGUUGAAACUUGGGCCUGGCUGGCAGGUCCGCCUCACCGCGUGUACUUGUCCGGCCGGGCCUUUCCUUCUGGAGAACCUCAUGCCCUUCACUGGGUGUGCUGGGGAACCAGGACUUUUACUUUGAAAAAAUUAGAGUGUUCAAAGCAGGCCUUUGCUCGAAUACGUUAGCAUGGAAUAAUAGAAUAGGACGUGCGGUCCUAUUUUGUUGGUUUCUAGGACCGCCGUAAUGAUUAAUAGGGACAGUCGGGGGCAUCAGUAUUCAAUUGUCAGAGGUGAAAUUCUUGGAUUUAUUGAAGACUAACUACUGCGAAAGCAUUUGCCAAGGAUGUUUUCAUUAAUCAGUGAACGAAAGUUAGGGGAUCGAAGACGAUCAGAUACCGUCGUAGUCUUAACCGUAAACUAUGCCGACUAGGGAUCGGGCGAUGUUCUUUUUCUGACUCGCUCGGCACCUUACGAGAAAUCAAAGUUUUUGGGUUCUGGGGGGGAGUAUGGUCCGCACCAGGCUGAAACUAAAGAAUAUUUAUCUG
rnacentral:rRNA from 1 species